UCACGAAUCCUCCAUGACCACGCUAGCAAGAAAAAAGACACGGAGAGUCAUUGAAACGAGGUCGGGAAUUAGAGACGAUGCCAUUUCAUCAUUCCUGCGCCAUCUCGCGCUCUAGCACAUUCUUUUUUGAGAUCGCUACCUACGUCCGGAUCAGCCUGAAGAAGCUCCAUGGAGCUUCGUGAAUCAUGAACCUAUUCAGACUCACCAUGGAGCCGUGGGAUAUAUAUAUAUAUAUAAAAAGAAAUUACUCUGCAAGCUCAGGUCCAACCAGUCUUAACAUAGGCAACUGGCCAGUCACAUCUUCUCCAGGACAACAACAACAAAACAAAAUUACUAUGAUGGGCCUUAAAAAAGUUCUGCGGACAACUCAGGAUUUUACAUCAUAUUUUGUGUUUGGUUUGAUUGUUGUUCUAAUGCUUGAUGUUUGAUUAUUGCUCUGCAAAGUUUCAAAUUCCUGUUUUGAUUUCAUAAUUACUGUAUUGUGAGCAUCAGUUCAAGCUGCAUUUGAGGUUUUGGUAGUGUUUAGUGUUCUGCUUGAAUACCUGUUAAGAUGACUGCUCACUCUGGUAUGUGUUCAGUGUUUGUUUUUUGUUUUGUGUGUUUUUUUUUUCUUUCAAGUUCAAGGUUGUAUUUAAUUCCCCUCAAUGUUUCUCUAUUUGG